GUCACAUUUUUCAAAGAGGAAGAAGUUCUUUUUAGAAACUUACACCUGAAGAUCAAAUGGACAGAUAUGUGGAAUGGAUGGAAACAUCAUACUGAUUACAUACAUGAGUGUAAGCAAACAGAGGCUCGUAGAAUCUCUUUGACAUUACUUGUGAGCCAUCCUAGACUAACCUCCUAUACAUGAAAGACUUGUGGCCCAUUCACACCAUUACCUAUGUAACAGCCAUUGAAACACAUGACAAGGGUUGCCAUCACCACCAUGGAGUUGGUCAUUAAUGCUCCAUGGUUUAGUGACAGGAAAUUGGAAGCUACCACCUUUGUGGCCCCGUGAUAAAAAGAAGAAGCCUGAUGGAAGAUGGACUUCUUUGAAAAAGCAAGGCCAUGUGGCAGCUGCUUCAGCCCAUCAAAGCUCUCCUGGAACAUAUUCAGGAAGAACUUGAUUGCAAGUUAUGCCUGGCUGCCUCUACUUCUCAUUUCAACAACACUGGGCAUAUUUUCUAAACUCUUCUGAGCAUAAUAACAGACAAGCAACCCUGUAAUGCAAGGCUAUAAUUCCACUGAGGGGUGCUGGCGGUGACAUGUACCAUGAAGUCAGACUCUGAGUGGUUUGUCACCAGAACCCCUAGGGUGGAAUUAUAGCCUGGUUCACUUCUUGCUUAUUUUCUUUAAUAUGUAGAUGUCACUUUGCCUCUCCCAUCAUCUCCCCUGGAGUUCUUGCCCCUUAUUUUCUGGCCACCAAAGAAUACUUUAUCUCCUAUUGUCUUGAUAAAGUUCUACAAUUUUAGUAUUAUGUAAUUUGAUGUAGACAAAUUUCCACUUUCUUUUCUUAUUCCUGUCAGU